rnacentral:misc_RNA from 1 species
GCACAUCAAUGGUAGAGGACUGCUAUUCUUACAAUAUCUUUAGUAGAUUCAUUAAGGAAGCUCUCUAUUGUGGUGAUCAGCCAGUAGACUGGUGCAAGCAGCGUGGGAUGGGGAGCAAUAUUUCAGUGUCUAGUUUCUAGGCCAUUUAUGCCACCUUGAAGGUGGUUCUGAUUAUAAGAGUAAUAAUUUUUCCUAUAUCUUUAGUGGUAGCUGCAAUUUCUGAACAGGAAUCAAAAUUCAUAUCCUUCCAUGCUGCUCUUAGUUAUAAAGGCUUUGUUACAUACAUUUGGAGCACCAUGUCUGCUAAGAACAAAUUGAUAACAACAAAUCCAUUUCAUUCAUUGAGCAAUCUUAAAGUUAAAGAUUCAAUCAGUUGUGUUUCCUGCAGUUGAUUCCAAUAGGAUUGAUAUGUGAACAUCUUGGCGAAAUAGUAAAUUAUGGCAUGAUAAUGAAGAUAGUAACCACAGUAUCAUUGAUGGUGGCAAUUGCCUUAAUAUGGCCAUGAUAAUUAUGACGAUGAAGUGGCUAUACAGGUGAUAAGAACAAUGGCAAUAUGGCAUUUUGUGUGAUGGCAUAUAGCAGCAGCCAUGACAUUUUAUGACUAUGAUGUUGAAUGCAGUGAGGCUGGUAGGAAAUGGAGAGUGGAUUCUAUCAUUAUUUGUUUAAAACAAA